UGCCAGCCGCCGCGGUAAUACGGAGGUGGCAAGCGUUGUUCGGAAUCACUGGGCAUAAAGAGCGUGUAGGCGGUCUGAUCAGUCGGGUGUGAAAGCCCCCAGCUCAACUGGGGAACUGCAUCCGAAACUGUCGGACUUGAGGCUUGGAGGGGAGAGUGGAAUUCCCGGUGGAGCGGUGAAAUGCGUAGAUAUCGGGAGGAACGCCGGAGGCGAAAGCGACUCUCUGGACAAGUUCUGACGCUGAGACGCGAAAGCUAGGGGAGCAAACGGGAUUAGAUA
rnacentral:rRNA from 1 species